rnacentral:rRNA from 1 species
UACGUAUGGUGCAAGCGUUAUCCGGAUUUACUGGGUGUAAAGGGAGCGUAGACGGCUGUGUAAGUCUGAAGUGAAAGCCCGGGGCUCAACCCCGGGACUGCUUUGGAAACUAUGCAGCUAGAGUGUCGGAGAUGUAAGUGGAAUUCCCAGUGUAGCGGUGAAAUGCGUAGAUAUUGGGAGGAACACCAGUGGCGAAGGCGGCUUACUGGACGAUGACUGACGUUGAGGCUCGAAAGCGUGGGGAGCAAACAGG